UUAUCCUCCAGCCGACUUGUUUAUUUACAUUAUAUCAUCCCAACCGGGACUAAAUAAACAAGGACGUUACAAGUUAUCUAAAGUUACAGACCAAAACAUCAACAAGGAAGGUCAGUGAAAACUACAAUCUCCAUGGCAACGUAGUAACACUAGCCAAUCACAUUGCGAGACAAAAUAUGAAGGUAUCAGCGACAUAAAUGUCUGCAGGUGCGAGACAGGAAAGGAAAAGUGUCCAGCGACCUACCAUAAAUCAGCCUUAAGUGUUGGAAACGAGGAAAGCUUCACUGCCAUGGCAACGGUAACUAAGGAGGGCGGAGUUAAGCGAAGGUUAAAGGUUCAUCAGUGGAUCUAAUGAUCCUGAACGCACAGCGGCGCCUAAAUGACGCUAAUUUAAUUAGCUCAGUCGCCUAUAAUGGAGCUCAAGUGUGUAUAAAGGCAAAACUUUGCUUACUUUUGUUACAAAAUGACGCAGCAAGGAGGAGAAAAAAGUUUAAAUCCAACCUACAUCAACUGUUUUCCUGCUUUUUUCCAACAUGGCCGCUAAUGAGCCCCAAAACAACCUGCCAACACUCACUUUCCACCUGCUGCAGAGGACCAGAGCUGAUUAGAGGCCUGAUUGACAACUCAGAGGAGAAAAACUUUUCAUCACUUAUUGAAGCUUUGAAUGUCUGCUAGUGACCGUUAAUGGUGGUCGCCAUACGUGACAGACUGUACGUCAUUCCUCUCACCUGUCUGAUAAACACCUGAUGUGUGAUAUGCAGACUGGUGAACUGACUGAACCAUCGGACCAUCACUUCCUGAUCAUCAGCCAACAAACAUCACAACAACUUGUGUAAACAGGAACAACAACAGCAGGAUACUGUACCUGUAUGUUGGUGAGCAGGGUCUCCACUGACGACAGGCCGUCAGCGAAUAGGAACGGAGCGGGGAAGCCGGGGGGCAGGGCUUGUCCCAGCGAAGACUCUUCUGUGAAGAACAA